UCACACAAAUGUUAUAGUUGACCA
rnacentral:siRNA from 1 species